AUGGACUGAAGACACCAUUCAAUCGUCCAUCUUCCAGUAAAAAUAAUCAAGGUUUUCUAAAUGGGAUGUCCGAGGCUAAUGUGGAAUAGAUCACAAGUGAAAAUUCCAUGAUCUACCAGAUUGUUGGUUGCACAUUUGGUUCUCAGAUUAUCAAUGAAGAGAUUCUGGCAACAUGUUCUAGAGGUCCACGUGGCAAUGAGCAGU